rnacentral:piRNA from 1 species
UAUUACUGAUCGCCACUUUUCUCUUAC